ensembl:miRNA
AGCUGAUCUCUUGUUUUCAUUGAAGCUGUUUCCUCUCAGCAGCUCAGUGAGCUGGAUCAGAGCC